GAUUAUUAUUUUUUUCAAGACAGAUACCCAAUCGGGUGGCUCACACUUUUCUCGUCAAUGAUUUUGAAAAAAACUGGAAAGCAAAUGAUCCUCUAUCACUACGCGUGCAGCAGGUAGCCUAGUGGUUAGAGUGUAGAGGAGGUAGGUAGCCUAGUGGUUAGAGUGUAGAGGCGGCAGGUAGCCUAGUGGUUAGAGUGUAGAGGAGGCAGGUAGCCUAGUGGUUAGAGUGUAGAGGUGGCAGGUAGCCUAGUGGUUAGAGUGUAGAGGCGGCAGGUAGCCUAGUGGUUAGAGUGUAGAGGCGGCAGGUAGCCUAGUGGUUAGAGUGUAGAGGCGGCAGGUAGCCUAGUGGUUAGAGUGUAGAGGCAGCAGCGUAGCCUAGUGGUUAGAGUGUAGAGGUGGCAGGUAGCCUAGUGGUUAGAGUGUAGAGGAGGUAGGUAGCCUAGUGGUUAGAGUGUAGAGGCGGCAGGUAGCCUAGUGGUUAGAGUGUAGAGGCGGCAGGUAGCCUAGUGGUUAGAGUGUAGAGGCGGCAGGUAGCCUAGUGGUUAGAGUGUAGAGGCGGCAGGUAGCCUAGUGGUUAGAGUGUAGAGGCAGCAGCGUAGCCUAGUGGUUAGAGUGUAGAGGCGGCAGGUAGCCUAGUGGUUAGAGUGUAGAGGCAGCAGCGUAGCCUAGUGGUUAGAGUGUAGAGGCAGCAGCAUAGCCUAGUGGUUAGAGUGUAGAGGAGGCAGGUAGCCUAGUGGUUAGAGUGUAGAGGCGGCAGGAUAGCCUAGUGGUUAGAGUGUAGAGGCGGCAGCGUAGCCUAGUGGUUAGAGUGUAGAGGCAGCAGCAUAGCCUAGUGGUUAGAGUGUAGAGGCAGCAGCGUAGCCUAGUGGUUAGAGUGUAGAGGCGGCAGGUAGCCCAGUGGUUAGAGUGUAGAGGCAGCAGCGUAGCCUAGUGGUUAGAGUGUAGAGGCGGCAGGUAGCCUAGUGGUUAGAGUGUAGAGGCAGCAGCGUAGCCUAGUGGUUAGAGUGUAGAGGCAGCAGCAUA